CCUACGGGUUGCACCAGUGGGGAAUAUUGCACAAUGGGCGCAAGCCUGAUGCAGCCAUGCCGCGUGUGUGAAGAAGGCCUUCGGGUUGUAAAGCACUUUCAGCGAGGAGGAAGGUGGUGAACUUAAUACGUUCAUCAAUUGACGUUACUCGCAGAAGAAGCACCGGCUAACUCCGUGCCAGCAGCCGCGGUAAUACGGAGGGUGCAAGCGUUAAUCGGAAUCACUGGGCGUAAAGCGCACGCAGGCGGUUUGUCAAGUCAGAUGUGAACUCCCCGGGCUCAACCUGGGAACUGCAUUUGAAACUGGCAAGCUAGAGUCUCGUAGAAGGGGGUAGAAUUCCAGGUGUAGCGGUGAAAUGCGUAGAGAUCUGGAGGAAUACCGGUGGCGAAGGCGGCCCCCUGGACGAAGACUGACGCUCAGGUGCGUAAGCGUGGGGAGCAAACAGGAUUAGAUACCCCAGUAGUC
rnacentral:rRNA from 1 species